GACGAACGCUGGCGGCGUGCUUAACACAUGCAAGUCGAACGGAAAGGCCCUGCUUUUGUGGGGUGCUCGAGUGGCGAACGGGUGAGUAACACGUGAGUAACCUGCCCUUGACUUUGGGAUAACUUCAGGAAACUGGGGCUAAUACCGGAUAGGAGCUCCUGCUGCAUGGUGGGGGUUGGAAAGUUUCGGCGGUUGGGGAUGGACUCGCGGCUUAUCAGCUUGUUGGUGGGGUAGUGGCUUACCAAGGCUUUGACGGGUAGCCGGCCUGAGAGGGUGACCGGCCACAUUGGGACUGAGAUACGGCCCAGACUCCUACGGGAGGCAGCAGUGGGGAAUAUUGCACAAUGGGCGGAAGCCUGAUGCGGCAACGCCGCGUGCGGGAUGACGGCCUUCGGGGUGUAAACCGCUUUCGCCUGUGACGAAGCGUGAGUGACGGUAAUGGGUAAAGAAGCACCGGCUAACUACGUG
rnacentral:rRNA from 1 species